UGGGGAAUAUUGCACAAUGGAGGGAACUCUGAUGCAGCGACGCCGCGUGAGUGAUGAAGGAAUUCUUUUCGUAACACUCUGUUCUAUGGGAAGAAAAGGACUGUACCAUAGGAGAAAGCUACGGCUAAAUACGUGCCAUCAGCCGCGGUGAUACGUAGGGUGCGAGCGUUGUCCGGAAUUAUUGGGCGUAAAGAGCUUGUAGGCGGUUUGUCGCGUCGAUAGUGUAAACACGCAGCUUAACUGUGUGCCUGCUGUCGAUACGGGCUGACUAGAGGAGGGUAGGGGAGAAUGGAAUUCCCGGUGGAGCGGUGGAAUGCGCAGAUAUCGGGAGGAACACCAGUGGCGAAGGCGGUUCUCUGGACCUUUCCUGACGCUGAGAAGCGAAAGCGUGGGUAGCAAACAGG
rnacentral:rRNA from 1 species